rnacentral:lncRNA from 1 species
CUGGUCACCCGCACAUUCUUCUGCUCGCGGACUUACGAAGGCUUUGUAAAAAAUCGGGAGAGGGAUGGAGAGCUAGACGAAAUGCUCUACGUGAAAAGGGCCUGCAGAAGGUGGGUGGCAUUCAGAGGAAGAGCAGCUUCCGGCAUCAUUCAGUCCCUUUGCGGCAGUACCUCCAUCAAUCCCCACGGUCCAGGGGCCAGGUGUAAGUCCUUGGAGCCCAGGACCCGGCUUCCCAUGAGAUGCCUGGGUUAGGGUGUCGCACUCUGCCUCCCGACCUCCUUGAGAGAACAGGACGUGGAAAACAUGGGCCAAGGUUGCUCUUCUGAUUCUGGAGAUGCAUUUGAGUUUCUAUCAGAUGCAACAGAAGAGGCCACAGGUGAGGAGCUAGAGAGGCCAUCUGUGCUGGGGUGGCCCAGGAGUGGGCUCAGGGCUGCAG